rnacentral:rRNA from 1 species
UGGGGAAUAUUGCACAAUGGGCGCAAGCCUGAUGCAGCCAUGCCGCGUGUAUGAAGAAGGCCUUCGGGUUGUAAAGUACUUUCAGCGGGGAGGAAGGGAGUAAAGUUAAUACCUUUGCUCAUUGACGUUACCCGCAGAAGAAGCACCGGCUAACUCCGUGCCAGCAGCCGCGGUAAUACGGAGGGUGCAAGCGUUAAUCGGAAUUACUGGGCGUAAAGCGCACGCAGGCGGUUUGUUAAGUCAGAUGUGAAAUCCCCGGGCUCAACCUGGGAACUGAAUCUGAUACUGGCAAGCUUGAGUCUCGUAGAGGGGGGUAGAAUUCCAGGUGUAGCGGUGAAAUGCGUAGAGAUCUGGAGGAAUACCGGUGGCGAAGGCGGCCCCCUGGACGAAGACUGACGCUCAGGUGCGAAAGCGUGGGGAGCAAACAGG